GACGAACGCUGGCGGCGUGCCUAAUACAUGCAAGUAGAACGCAAUUGCGAACGGAAGAGUAACGCGUCGGGAACUGCCUCAUAGCGGGGGAUAACUAUUGGAAACGAUAGCUAGAACAGCAGACUUUGAGAUGGACCUGCGUUGUGUUAGGUAGUUGGUGAGGUAAAGCAGCACCAAGGCGACGAUACAUAGCCGACCUGAGAGGGCGGUUGGCCAGACUGGGAGUGAGACAGGGCCCAGAUGCAUACGGGAGGGAGCAGUAGGGAAACUUCGGCAAUGGACGGAAGACUGACCGCUCAACGGCGCGUGAGUGAAGAAGGUUGUCGGAUCGGAAAGCUCUGUUGUUAGAGAAGCGGUAACUAACCAGAAAGGGACGGCUAACUACGUGCCAGCCGCCGCGGUAAUAC
rnacentral:rRNA from 1 species